UACCCCAUGCAAGUGGAGGGGCAGCGCAAGGAUUAGCUUGCUAAUUUUUGGGGGCGACCGGCGGAGGGGUGAGUAACACGUAUGCAACCUCCCUUUAACACGGGCAUAACCCCGAGAAAUCCGGACUAAUUCCCGAUAAUACAGGGGCUCCGCAUGGAGAUAUUUGUUAAAGAUUUAUUGUUAAAGAUGGGCAUGCGCUCCAUUAGUUAGUUGGUGAGGUAACGGCUCACCAAGGCAUCGAUGGAUAGGGGAACUGAGAGGUUUAUCCCCCACACUGGGACUGAGACACGGCCCAGACUCCUACGGGAGGCAGCAGUGAGGAAUAUUGGUCAAUGAGGGCAACCUUGAACCAGCCAAGUCGCGUGAAGGAUGACUGUCCUAAGGAUUGUAAACUUCUUUUAUAUGGGAAUAAUUGUAGUCACGUGUGGUUAUUUGCAUGUACCAUAUGAAUAAGGAUCGGCUAACUCCGUGCCAGCAGCCGCGGUAAUACGGAGGAUCCAAGCGUUAUCCGGAUUUAUUGGGUUUAAAGGGUGCGCAGGCGGGAGAUUAAGUCGGUGGUGAAAUUUUGCGGCUCAACCGUAAGAGUGCCAUCGAAACUGGUUUUCUUGAGUGUAGAUGAAGUAGGCGGAAUUUGUGGUGUAGCGGUGAAAUGCAUAGAUAUCACGAGGAACUCCAAUUGCGCAGGCAGCUUACUAAACUACUACUGACGCUCAUGCACGAAGGCGUGGGGAUCAAACAGGAUUAGAUACCCUGGUAGUCCACGCAGUAAACGAUGAUUACUAGUUGUUUGCGAUACACUGUAAGCGACUGCGCGAAAGCAUAAG
rnacentral:rRNA from 1 species